CACCAUUACCUUUCAAUAAGGGAAGAUGUGUCUUGUGGAAAAUGUGGUUAUAUCGAGCUUCUGAGCUGAAAUACAAAGGACUCAAGAGUGAAGGAAAGAAGACUCUGCCUUCUUCAAAGAGACCAUCAGAACAUCAAGUCCAAAGUUGAAGCAGCCUCAUAAAGAAACCUUCAGCCGGGGCCGGAUUCUGCAAACAGUUGAGUGGGAAGAUGACUGCAGCAGCUCUUCAUCAAGAGCAAGAAAUCAACUUUUCCUGGGGAAGCAGAGAAGUCAUCAGCACAAAGCUUGCAAAGCAAGAGGUAGCUGUAGGAUUCCUUCAUGGGAGAAAAGAAACACAAGCCACAAAUCCAGAGACACGCUGCAGACCACCUGAAUGAUGCUCGUGGACCACAGGUGGUCGACGGACCACAGGUUGGGACCCCUGGCCUAAAACAUUUAUCCAUUGGUUCAUGCCUGCUUUCUUGUCCUAAAUAAAAUUCUC